UGUGGUCUUGUCUUAACACUCUGUGUCUUACUACCAUGUACAAAGGCACGAGAUUGUUGGACUGAGUGCCUCAGUUCCCUGCUGUCUGUCACCCAGGGAACACCCUCAGUUCCUCAGACUUGGAGCCCUUCACAAUCACCACUUGCCUCAUGGAAGCAUGCAGGCCAAGGAGGCACCAGAUGCAUGCCUUUCACAGCCUUGAACGUACGAAGUUCCGUCAAGCCUCUGGGCUCAUCCAUGUGGAAUUUCCCAUGCACCAUCACCUGGUGGUCUCCGCCUCAUCCACUCUUCAGCUAAGUGGUAGUUUAAGGGUCACCUCCUGAAGCCUCCUCUGAUCCCUGACCUAAUCCCUGGUUCUCUUCUCCAGUGCCCAACCCAGUUCCGGGCACCCAGGAGGAACUCAGUGAAUGUUUGUCUAUGAAUAAAUG